GACGAACCGAGCGAACGUUGUUCGGAAUCACUGGGCUUAAAGGGCGCGUAGGCGGGCUGUCAAGUCUGGGGUGAAAUCCCGCGGCUCAACCGCGGAACUGCCUCAGAUACUGACGGUCUCGAGGGGGUAGGGGCGAGCGGAACUGAUGGUGGAGCGGUGAAAUGCGCAGAUAUCAGGAGGAACACCGGUGGCGAAGGCGGGUCUCUGGGCCGAUACUGACGCUGAGGAGCGAAAGCGUGGGGAGCGAACAGG
rnacentral:rRNA from 1 species